rnacentral:tRNA from 1 species
UCCCUGGUGGCUCAGAUGGUAAAGCAUCUGCCUAUAAUGCGGGACACCCGGGUUCAAUCCCUGGGUUGGGAA